UACAUAGUUUGCUGUCUACCCAAUUUCACUUACAGGAUUUGCGUCAAUUCAAAGCUAUGGGCACUUGCUCAAAGUGCUGAACAUAUAUUAGUAACAAUGUUACUUUAAGACGGGUAAACAAUUAAUAAUUAAGCUUUAUUCACUUUCUAUGGAAUUUUUUUCUUAUUUUCCACUUGCAACAUUGUUAUUACAACACAUAAGAGAUAACAAACUGUCUAUGGAAGUAUUAGCUAAUAAACAGCUCUCUAGAGAACAAAUGAAAAAAAUUCCCAAGAAAAUGUAUUAUGGAAUCAGAUUUUAAUAUCCCACACAUAACUCUAGUAGCACAUAUAACAAA